UGGGGAAUAUUGCACAAUGGGCGCAAGCCUGAUGCAGCCAUGCCGCGUGUGUGAAGAAGGCCUUCGGGUUGUAAAGCACUUUCAGCGGGGAGGAAGGCGGUGAGGUUAAUAACCUCAUCGAUUGACGUUACCCGCAGAAGAAGCACCGGCUAACUCCGUGCCAGCAGCCGCGGUAAUACGGAGGGUGCAAGCGUUAAUCGGAAUUACUGGGCGUAAAGCGCACGCAGGCGGUCUGUCAAGUCGGAUGUGAAUCCCCGGGCUCAACCUGGGAACUGCAUUCGAAACUGGCAGGCUAGAGUCUUGUAGAGGGGGGUAGAAUUCCAGGUGUAGCGGUGAAAUGCGUAGAGAUCUGGAGGAAUACCGGUGGCGAAGGCGGCCCCCUGGACAAAGACUGACGCUCAGGUGCGAAAGCGUGGGGAGCAAACAGG
rnacentral:rRNA from 1 species